rfam:Candidatus Wildermuthbacteria bacterium RIFCSPLOWO2_01_FTLL_48_16 rifcsplowo2_01_scaffold_11691, whole genome shotgun sequence.
UAGCCAGAGAGUUUGAUCCUGGCUCAGGAUGAACGCUGGCGGCGUGGAUAAGGCAUGCAAGUCGUGCGGGCUUCGACGCAAGUCGAGGUCAGCGGCAAACGAGUUCAUAACACGUAGGUACCUCCCCUUCAGACAGGAAUAACCAGCCGAAAGGUUGGCUAAUGCCUGAUGGCCCCGCAAGGGUAAAGCAGCAAUGCGCUGGAGGAAGGGCCUGCGGCCUAUCAGCUUGUUGGUGAGGUAAUGGCUCACCAAGGCUAUGACGGGUAGGGGGCGUGAGAGCGCGUUCCCCAACGAUGGGACUGAGACACGGCCCAUA